GCCCUGUGUAGUGGUGUGUACCUGUAAUUCCAGAUACUCAGGAGGCUGAGGCAGGAGGAUCACUUGAGCCCAGUAAUUGAAGGCUGCUUGGGCAACAGAGUGAGACCCUAUCUCAA
rnacentral:sRNA from 1 species